UUUUUAAUUGAGAUCUUGUAUGAAUGAUUGGACAAGGGAAAUACUGUCUUUGUAUUAAAAAUUGAAUUUAACUUUUAAGUGAAAAGGCUUAAAUGUUCUAAGGGGACGAUAAGACCCUAUAAAACUUUACAUUAAUAUUAAAUUUUAUAGAAUUUGAGAUUAUAAUGAUUAAAUUUAAUUUUUUUGUUUUGUUGGGGAGACAGAAGCUAUAAUUGAUUAUAACUGCUUAAAAAAGAAACACUAAUAGGUGGAAGAAAAUUAUAGAUCCUUUAUAAAGAUUUUUAGAUUAAGUUACUUUAGGGAUAACAGCGUUAUUUUUUUUGAGAGUUCAUAUCGAAAAAAAAGAUUGCGACCUCGAUGUUGAAUUAAAAUAUCUUUAUAAUGUAGGCGUUAUAAAAGAAGGUCUGUUCGACCUUUAAUUUUUUA
rnacentral:rRNA from 1 species